CCUCUGGUAGCUCAGUUGGUUUAGAGCAUGAGACUGUAAAUCUUGUGGUCGGGAGUUCAAAUCUCCUCCGGAGGA
rnacentral:tRNA from 1 species